UUCUCUCUCUCUCUCUCUCUCUCUCUCUCUCUCUUCGUGUGGCGAGUAUGGUGGAUCUUAAGAUUUGGAGGUUUUUGUGGUGUGUUUGCAGAUUUAUGGGGCAAGAAUCAGAAGAAACCCUAAUUCUGAGGGGGUGACUGUGUAAUUUUCUAGCCCUAAUAUUCUUUCUUCGUGCUGUGCACGUGACUGUGUGUGUAUUCUGGGUUUUGGAGGUAUACUGUUUUUUUUUUAUGAGGAAUUUAUGUUCUUGAUUUCUUUAACUGUGUGUGAAGUUUGGUGAAAUGAAGAAGAUGCUGCCGGUGGAAACUAUA
rnacentral:lncRNA from 1 species